CCUGGAAUUCCUUAGUGGGAGACGAGGGAAAAACCAAUUUUGAGUCACAUCCAGGAAUUUUCUUCAGAGUUCCCUGGGAAAAAAAACCAGAAAUAACCUGAAAAUUUCCAUCUCCUUUUGUUUUCCCUUAGAAUUUUGGGAUCUAAAACCCAUCCAAACCCAUUAUUCCCAUUCCUCCCCUUGGAAAAAAAAUCCUUGCGGGUUUUUGAGUGCCAAAUUCCCUUUUUUCCCGUUUUUCCAGGAUGGCAGACACGGAUCUUUUCAUGGAAUGCGAGGAGGAGGAGCUGGAGCCAUGGCAGAAAAUCAGCGAUGUCAUCGAGGACUCCGUGGUGGAGGAUUACAAUUCCAUGGAAAAAACUCCCGCAGGUCAUUUCCCCCUUGUCCCUCCUCACCGUCCCCCUUUUCCCACUGCUGCUUCCCGUUUUCUCACUGACUGUUCCAUAUUUCUCACUUACAUUUCCCCUUUCCCCACAGAUUUUUUUCCCCCCAUAAUCCCAUUGAUUUGCCCCCCACAUUCCCAUGGAUUUUCCCAAUUUCCCCACGGAUUUCCCCCGCACAUUCCCUGGCUUUUCCCCUUUUCCCCACAGAUUUUUUCCCCCCACAUUCCCCUGGCUUUUCCCAAUUUCCCCACGGAUUUCCCCCCACAUUCCCCUGGCUUUUCCCCAGGGAUUUCCCCCCCACAUUCCCCUGGCUUUUCCCCAGGGAUUUCCCCCCACAUUCCCCUGGCGUUUCCCCACGGAUUUCCCCCGCAUUCCCCGGGUGUUCCCGCUUUCCCCACGGAUUUCCCCCACAUUCCCCUGGCGUUUCCCCACGGAUUUCCCCCACAUUCCCUUGGCGUUUCCCCACGGAUUUCCCCCGCAUUCCCCGGGUGUUCCCGCUUUCCCCAGGGAUUUCCCCCACAUUCCCCUGGCGUUUCCCCACGGAUUUCCCCCCGCGUUCCCCGGGUGUUCCCGCUUUCCCCAGGGAUUUCCCCCACAUUCCCCUGGCGUUCCCCGGGUGUUCCCGCUUUCCCCACGGUGUUCCGGCUGUUUUCCAGGCGGGAACGCCGCCGUGCAGCCGGGCGGGCAGUCCCUGCUGCUGGCGCAGAGCCCCGCGCCCAGCCUGGGGGCGGUGGUCACCCAGCCCCUGCUGCGGCCGGUGCAGCUGAUGCAGAACGCCAACCACGGCACCAACCCCCCCGCGGGCACCCAGCCCAUCUUCAUCACCACCCAGGUCAGCCGCCAGCCCGGAGCGCCGCCGCAAAUCCCGGGAAAAACGCGCUUUCCCGGGAAAAUUCCCGUUUCUCGCUCCCUUU
rnacentral:lncRNA from 1 species